rnacentral:rRNA from 1 species
GACAGAGGGUGCAACCGUUGCUCGGAUUUACUGGGCGUAAAGCGCGUGUAGGCGGGCGACUAAGUCGGAUGUGAAAUCCCUGGGCUCAACCUAAGAACUGCAUUCGAAACUGGUCACCUAGAGUGAUGGAGAGGAAAGCGGAAUUCCCGGUGUAGAGGUGAAAUUCGUAGAUAUCGGGAGGAACACCAGUGGCGAAGGCGGCUUUCUGGACAUUUACUGACGCUGAGACGCGAAAGCGUGGGGAGCAAACAGG